AUCCAACUGACGAGCGCCAAAUAGGAUGAAACAUGCGUCCUAGAU
rfam:Schistosoma curassoni strain Dakar, Senegal genome assembly, scaffold: SCTD_scaffold0000796